GCGAAGCCGGAGGGACUUAAUGAUAUGGGAGGCUGCCGCUGCCUUCGACGCGGUCACUCCAUCCUGCACAUUUUGGUGGAGAUUCUGCAGGGAUUAUUGACGUUCUGCAUCGACUUUUGCGGAUUCUGAGGACCACCUGGCAGGUAUGGGAGAUCGCUUAUGUCACCGGGAGGAGAUGCGGCGACAGGUGUUCUCUGCGCAGGUGCGGUGGUCACGAGCACUCCAUGUCGACGUUACGACCGUCACAAGGAAGGUUUUUCAGCAACGGCGAAACACACCGUCACAACCGCACCUUAGGUCCAAGGGGGGUCAGUCACACCCCGAAAAUCUGUUUCCGGAUGUUUUCUCGCAGUGAGAACGUCUUUGAAAUAAAAUGGGAAUGUUGAA